CCAGAUAAGUAAUCCCCCUGCUCCAAACCCUUUCCUGCCCCAGCUCUUGGCUGCAGCACUAGAGGGGGUGGAGAAAGCCCGUGCUGAUGGGGGAGGAGGGGGAAAGAAAGCCCUGCCCUUUGGGACCCCCUGUCUUAAGCCCCUCCUCACCCCCCACCCUCAUUUUUGCACCCUCCCAUGCCUCAAUCUCCUGCCCUUCCUCUCCCAACCCAAAAGCCCUGCCCUGACUCCUGAACCCACACACACCGCCAGCCCUUGCUCUAAAGGACCAAGUCUUCUAAUGGGGAUAUAAAGGUAUUUAACUUAAAGUCACUGGUACCAGUUCACCCUCAGGUGAUCCUUCAAAGAUGUAUUUGUGCAAGGAGUUGAGAUCUGACCCUACAAAGGCUGAAAUUUGGCUUAAACUAAAAAGUUAGGUCAACCCAGGUAUGUUGGUCAGGGUUGUGAAAAACCCACACCCCUCAGCAACAAAGAGGGAAGCCAAUCAAACCCCCAGUGACCACAAGGCCAAGGCCACAGAAGAAGUCUUCCAUUGACCUAGCUACCAUUUAUUGAGAAAGUAGGUUAUCUGUGCUAACAAUAGUACUUCUCCUGCAGCCACUUCAGUGAUUUCCCAGAGAGCCAGCCACUCCCCAGGCGUGGGGCCAACUGGCUCUGCUCCCCGUGUACAGGGAAGCUGGCUUUUAAGGCAGAAAUAUUCAUGGUCACCUGCAAACAGGACUCCUCUUCAUAGAAUCAUAGAGCUAGAAGAGACCUCAGGAGGUCAUAAGUCCUACCCAAGGAAGGACCAAUCCCAACUAAAUCAACCCAGCCAGGGCUUUGUCAAGCCAAGACUUAAUAACCUCUAGGGAUGGAGAUUCCACCACAUCCCUAGGUAACCCUUUCCAGUGCUUCACCACCUUCCUAGUGAGACCCUCUUCCAUCCUGAUGGAUGAUCAAGCUGACUUAAAAAUUGAUAUGGCCCCAGGGCUUUCAGUAUUUGCAGAAGGAUAAACUGAGGUAAAAAACACAUACUUGCCCAAAGUGAAGACCACAUCCUACUGCUGCUGGCAGAGCCAAGAAUAGAAGUAAGGAGUCCUGACUCCCAAUCACCUGUUGUGACUAUUGGACACACUGCCUCCCUCCUUCCUUUAUUUAAUUCUACCAGGUGUACAAUGCUGAUUAAGAGACAAGAGUGGAGAAUGAAAGGACAGUGAAGUUUCCAGAAGAACCAGUUUCUCUACAAGAACAGCUAAUUGAUCAUUGCUUUGAGAUUGUGCAGUGGAUGAGGGAUUCAAUAUGCAGGUUGCUCUGGGAAGAGAGGACUACCCCAGCCCUCUCUCACUGCAGUGGGUGAGAAGUGCCUCUCCAUGGUUGCUGCAGCUCCAGAGGAUAAAGCCAGGAGAGGGGUACAUGUCCCCUGGCUGAAGGACAGAAACAUACACAAAUGGACAAACCCUCUCAAAUAUAGAAAUGUAGCCGUGUUAGUCUGGUGUAGCUGAAACAAAAAACAGGACUAUGUAGCACUUUAAAGACUAACAAGAUGGUUUAU